UCUCCGUAGGUGAACCUGCGGAGGGAUCAUUACAGAGUUCAUGCCCUACCGGGUAGAUCUCCCACCCUAUGUUAUUAUUACUUUGUUGCUUUGGCGGGCCGUUAGGCUCCGGCCCGACUACCGGCCCCGGCUGGUAAGCGCCCGCCAGAGGACCCAAAACCCUGAAUAUAGUGUCGUCUGAGUACUAUAUAAUAGUUAAAACUUUCAACAACGGAUCUCUUGGUUCUG
rnacentral:misc_RNA from 1 species